UGCGUAGGCGGUGUUAUUAGUCGGGUGUUAAAUCCUGGGGCUCAACCUCAGACUCGCAUUCGAAACGGUAACACUAGAAGAAGUAAGAGGUGAACAGAACUCUCGGUGUAGGGGUGAAAUCCGUUGAUAUCGAGGGGAAUACCAAAUGCGAAGGCAGUUCACUGGUGCUUUCUUGACGCUGAGGCACGAAAGCGUGGGUAGCGAACA
rnacentral:rRNA from 1 species